GAUUAAGCAAUGCAUGUCGAGUUCAUCUAAGGAGGAAUUGCGAACGACUCAUUAGAGCAGAUGUCACUUAUUCGGAAAGUCUUUUUGGAUAAUCGCGGCAAUUCUGGAGCUAAUACAUGCUAUUGUAAGAGUGCAGUUAUUAGAGUAAAUCGAUCAUCUCAGGUGUAGUUUGCUGACUCUAAAUAACGCUGUAUAUUAGCGGCUUAUCCGCCGAUAUUCCGAAAUAGGGUCUGCGCUAUCAACCUGAUGGAAGUCUAUUGGUCUACCAUGUAAUGGAGAAUAAGGGUUCGACUCCGGAGAGGGAGCCUCAGAAACGGCUAAUCACAUGCAGCGGUUC
rnacentral:ncRNA from 1 species